UACGGGGGGGGCAAGCGUUGUUCGGAAUUACUGGGCGUAAAGGGCUCGUAGGCGGCCAACUAAGUCGGAUGUGAAAUCCCCAGGCUUAACCUGGGAACUGCAUCCGAUACUGGAUGGCUUGAAUCCGGGAGAGGGAUGCAGAAUUCCAGGUGUAGCGGUGAAAUGCGUAGAUAUCUGGAGGAACACCGGUGGCGAAGGCGGCAUCCUGGACCGGUAUUGACGCUGAUGCGCGAAAGCCAGGGGAGCGAACGGG
rnacentral:rRNA from 1 species